UGGGGAGCAAACAGGAUUAGAUACCCCUGGUAGUCCACGCUGUAAACGGAUGUCUACUUGGAGGCUGGUGUCAUGAACAGUGGCUUUCGAAGCUAACGCGAUAAGUAGACCGCCUGGGGAGUACGGUCGCAAGAUUAAAACUCAAAUGAAUUGACGGGGGCCCGCACAAGCGGUGGAGCAUGUGGUUUAAUUCGAUGCAACGCGAAGAACCUUACCUACUCUUGACAUCCAGAGAAUCUUACGGAGACGUGAGAGUGCCUUCGGGAGCUCUGAGACAGGUGCUGCAUGGCUGUCGUCAGCUCGUGUUGUGAAAUGUUGGGUUAAGUCCCGCAACGAGCGCAACCCUUAUCCUUAAUUGCCAGCACUUCGGGUGGGAACUUUAGGGAGACUGCCGGUGAUAAACCGGAGGAAGGUGGGGACGACGUCAAGUCAUCAUGGCCCUUACGAGUAGGGCUACACACGUGCUACAAUGGUGCAUACAGAGGGAAGCAAGACUGCGAAGUUAAGCGAAUCUCAAAAAGUGCAUCGUAGUCCGGAUUGGAGUCUGCAACUCGACUCCAUGAAGUCGGAAUCGCUAGUAAUCGUGGAUCAGAAUGCCACGGUGAAUACGUUCCCGGGCCUUGUACACACCGCCCGUCACACCAUGGGAGUGGGUUGCUCCAGAAGUAGGUAGCUUAACCUUAGGGAGGGCGCUUACCACGGAGUG
rnacentral:rRNA from 1 species